rnacentral:rRNA from 1 species
UACGUAGGGUGCAAGCGUUGUCCGGAAUCAUUGGGCGUAAAGCGCGCGUAGGUGGCCCCGUAAGUCCGCUGUGAAAGUCGGGGGCUCAACCCUCGAAUGCCGGUGGAUACUGUCGGGCUAGAGUGCGGAAGAGGCGAGUGGAAUUCCUGGUGUAGCGGUGAAAUGCGCAGAUAUCAGGAGGAACACCGAUGGCGAAGGCAGGUCUCUGGGCCAUAACUGACGCUGAGAAGCGAAAGCGUGGGGAGCGAACAGG